GCAUCUGCUCCUCUCCUUGAUCCUCACCUUUGCCCAGGCCGAGCUAUUCCCCCUCGCCGCCGCCACACCUCAGCCCCCUCGCCGUCGCGGCCGCACCUCAGCCCGCUCGCCGCCCCCGUCGCCGCCUCCGCGGUCGCACCUCAGCCCACUCGCCGCCCCCGUCGCAACCCAACCCCUCCUCCCCUCCAAUGGAUGCCGCCCCAACCACCUCAUCCAAUAGGAAGCCCCAGUUCGGCGGCCUCCGUUGCCGCCCUUCAGCGGCCACCUCGCCACCCCUCCAACGCCCACCACGUCCUUAUCCAACGCCUCCCUUCAGCGCCCACCCAUCCGCCUGCCCGCCCGGCAACGCCCGAUUGAAUUGUUGCUGCCAAGAUCUGCCUCAAUGUGGUUUGCAUCAUUGCGGCGACGACAUCGUCGAUCUUCAACUCCGGCAGGACUACCACAAUUCUCGCGGCUGAUGGCUGUGGAAAGCUGGAAAAUUUGCCUUUUCUAUCAAGAUGAGAAUCAACAACAUAAAGUUCUAGAAGGAUUCAUGGACAGGAAAGAUAUCUCCUUUUAUGAGUUAGUCAAAUUGAUUGAAGAAGUUGGCUUCUCGCCGGCAUAUGGUUUCUUGUACUACAGGAAGAAAUACCCUCGUGGCAGAUGCUAUUCUGACAUUGCUUCUGACCAUGAAAUACUUUGUGUUCAGUCUUCCCCUGGAAGUUAGCAUAGGAAUACACAAUGUUUCUUCAGAAUAACAGAGCACCAAAUCGAGGCAGCAGGCUGCCAUCGAAUUCCAUGGAAUAAAACUGACUUGUGGGUGUGAUUAAUCACUUACCAAAGUACAAGUUCAUUCUCUGAUGAAAAAGGUCAGUGUUUGGGGUGCACUGCGUAGCAAGGAUAUGUUGUAGGCUAUAUAGCUCUUCUGUGGACUGUGAGAGGUUGGGGUUCUCAUGCUUGCUUGGUCGGAACCUUUUCUUUUGAGUCGAUUGAUGAACGAUGGGCAUGAGGGCAUCUCUGCACUAACUAUGCUGUAUGUGUACUCCACUACAUACAGAUAGCUCGCUCGUCGUAUCUCGACAGAAGAAGAACAACUUUGAUCGAUGGAGAUGGAUUUCUUUCCUGGUGUUGCGAUUGUAUGUGCCUUGCCGACUAAACUAUCUUCUUUCUUAUUUACUGUCAGGUAGCUCUUUCAAAGAUAGCUCGCUCGUCGUAUCUCGACAGAAGAAGAACAACUUUGAUCGAUGGAGAUGGAUUUCUUUCCUGUUGGUGCGAUUCAGGGAAGCUAUUUGUGGUGUAAUAUGCAGCUAAAGGUAUUCCAGCAUGAGCUUCCAUGCACAACAUCAGUGCUUAAAGUAAAGGCUUCAGGACUUAAAAAUAACUUGAUUCUCUGCUCACAACCAACUGCAGCAAGAAAUAAUUUCAUAGCCACAGAUCGCGCCAAAGCAUAGCCAGCCUUGGUCCAAGGAGAUAGAGAAGUACUGACAAGGUGGCUCGUUCGCAAGUUGGAGCCAUCCAUGAGCUCACUGCUCUUGGUCGCUCACAGCAAAGAACUGCAUGUUGGCUGGGAUCUUGCCCAUGUAAUAUCUUCAGUACUGUAAUGGCAGAUUGUACUUUUGAUUACUUGAGCAAAUUUUUUUUGCAAUUUU